AGAACGAACGCUGGCGGCAGGCUUAACACAUGCAAGUCGAGCGCCCCGCAAGGGGAGCGGCAGACGGGUGAGUAACGCGUGGGAACAUACCCUCCGGUUCGGAAUAGCUCAGGGGAAACUUGGAUUAAUACCGGAUACGGCCUAGCGGCGAAAGAUUCAUCGCCGGAGGAUUGGCCCGCGUCUGAUUAGCUAGUUGGUGGGGUAAUGGCCCACCAAGGCGACGAUCAGUAGCUGGUCUGAGAGGAUGAUCAGCCACAUUGGGACUGAGACACGGCCCAAACUCCUACGGGAGGCAGCAGUGGGGAAUAUUGGACAAUGGGCGCAAGCCUGAUCCAGCCAUGCCGCGUGAGUGAUGACGGCCUUAGGGUUGUAAAGCUCUUUCGCUAGGGACGAUAAUGACGGUACCUAGACAAGAAGCCCGGCUAACUUCGCGCCAGCAGCCGC
rnacentral:rRNA from 1 species